rnacentral:sRNA from 1 species
ACACCGCCCGUCGCUACUACCGAUUGAAUGGCUCAGUGAGGCGUUCGGACUGGCUCGGGGAGGUUGGCAACGACCACCCCAAGCCGGAAAGUUCGUCAAACUCGGUCAUUUAGAGGAAGUAAAAGUCGUAACAAGGUCUCCGUAGGUGAACCUGCGGAGGGAUCAUUACACAAUAAAAUAUGAAGGCUGUACGCGGCUGUGCUCUCGGGCCAGUUUUGCGGAGGCUGAAUUAUUUAUUACCCUUGUCUUUUGCGCACUUGUUGUUUCCUGGGCGGGUUCGCCCGCCACCAGGACCACAUCAUAAACCUUUUUUAUGCAGUUGCAAUCAGCGUCAGUAUAACAAAUGUAAAUCAUUUACAACUUUCAACAACGGAUCUCUUGGUUCUGGCAUCGAUGAAGAACGCAGCGAAAUGCGAUACGUAGUGUGAAUUGCAGAAUUCAGUGAAUCAUCGAAUCUUUGAACGCACAUUGCGCCCUUUGGUAUUCCAAAGGGCAUGCCUGUUCGAGCGUCAUUUGUACCCUCAAGCUUUGCUUGGUGUUGGGCGUUUUUUGUCUUUGGUUGCCAAAGACUCGCCUUAAAAGGAUUGGCAGCCGGCCUACUGGUUUCGCAGCGCAGCACAUUUUUGCGCUUGCAAUCAGCAAAAGAGGACGGCAAUCCAUCAAGACUCCUUCUCACGUUUGACCUCGGAUCAGGUAGGGAUACCCGCUGAACUUAAGCAUAUCAAUA